GACGAACGCUGGCGGCGUGCUUAACACAUGCAAGUCGAACGGAAAGGCCCUGCUUUUGUGGGGUGCUCGAGUGGCGAACGGGUGAGUAACACGUGAGUAACCUGCCCUUGACUUUGGGAUAACUUCAGGAAACUGGGGCUAAUACCGGAUAGGAGCUCCUGCUGCAUGGUGGGGGUUGGAAAGUUUCGGCGGUUGGGGAUGGACUCGCGGCUUAUCAGCUUGUUGGUGGGGUAGUGGCUUACCAAGGCUUUGACGGGUAGCCGGCCUGAGAGGGUGACCGGCCACAUUGGGACUGAGAUACGGCCCAGACUCCUACGGGAGGCAGCAGUGGGGAAUAUUGCACAAUGGGCGGAAGCCGGAUGCAGCAACGCCGCGUGCGGGAUGACGGCCUUCGGGUUGUAAACCGCUUUCGCCUGUGACGAAGCGUGAGUGACGGUAAUGGGUAAAGAAGCACCGGCUAACUA
rnacentral:rRNA from 1 species